CCAAAGGCUCUUUUCAGAGCCACCCACCUUUUCGAAAAAAGGGCCGU
rfam:Struthio camelus australis contig70975, whole genome shotgun sequence.